AACGAACGCUGGCGGCAGGCUUAACAAAUGCAAGUCGAACGCCCCGCAAGGGGAGUGGCAGACGGGUGAGUAACGCGUGGGAAUCUACCAAUCCCUACGGAACAACGCCGGGAAACUGGAAUUAAUACCGCAUGACCACUACGGAGCAAAGAUUUAUGGGAGAAGGAUGGGCCCGCGUUGGAUUUGGUAGUUGGUGGGGUAAAGGCCUACCAAGGCGACGAUCCAUAGCUGGUCUGAGAGGAUGAUCAGCCACAUUGGGACUGGGACACGGCCCAAACUACUACGGGAGGCAGAAAAGGGGAAUAUUGGAGAAUGGGCGCAAGCCUGAUCCAGCCAUGCCGGGUGAGUGAUGAAGGCCUUAGGGUUGUAAAGCUCUUUCACCGGAGAAGAUAAUGACGGUAUCCGGAGAAGAAGCCCCGGCUAACUUCGUGCCAGCCGCCGCCGUAA
rnacentral:rRNA from 1 species